ACACUUAAUAUAUUCAUUGAUCAUUAAAAUAUGUGUCACAUGUGAAUCCUACUAAUAUGAUAAAUGUGAAAAUUUGUAAAAAUAUAUGGAGUAUGUUUUUCACGUAAAACUGCUGAAUUGCGGAUUUUGAUGAAACUUUACAAUAACAUAGCUUACACAUCAGUGUGAAUUACCCAAAAUAAAACCAUAAGUGACAAAUUAUCACUUCGUGACACCCGUUUUCAUUCGCUCGAAGGCAUACAGGAGAAUUGGCGCCGAAUACUGAACUCAAUUCCGGAAAAAGCGUUUAAGAAAUGUAUUGAUGAUUAGAUUAUUUUUGUCAGCAGCAAAUAUCACAUUACCAAAUAUUGACGAUUAACAUAUUCUUUAGUCUUUAACGACCACGAAGACUAUGAAAAAUGAAAUAAAGUAUUACAAAAAUAAGGACGCUAUUAAUCCACCAACAGAGUCUAUAUACCUUGACUGUAGAAGUUUUCGUCUUUGGAGAAUAUCGCGAAUUAAGCCAUUCUUUGACGCCUGUACAAGAAAAACACGAUGUAUCUCAACGCGUUGACGUCAUAACUAUUUAUAUGAAUACUCACUUAUAUGUAACGUGCGUCAGGUUGGCUGGCUAUGGUAUCGAGACGUGGGGAGCGCCGCUGUCAUGGGGCACUAGGUCAUGUUCACGACAGACCCCGAUCCACCCUGUAGAGGAUUAGCUUAUGUUAAUAUGUUGUGGACACGGAACAUAAUUUAAGCGGUGCUAAAUAACCCUCGAAAGAAGUGGACGCGAUGAGAAUUAUUAUUUUGGAGACAUUUUUACGGUGUAAAAACGUUUUAUUGUUCGUAGCUGAGUAUUUUUCUGGAUUAUGUUGAUUUAUUUGCAGCUGUUUUAUGUGACUUUGUUUAGAGCAGUGUAUAAAUAUGUUUACGAAACCUGUAACGAUUAUGAUAAAAAAUAGUGAUCCAUCAAUAAAAAUUAUCGUUACUAAAGCUAUAUGGUCAUUCUGUAUUAAAUAUUAAACCAAACUUAAUAUCUGUCUGGGUAGUAAAUUGGUGCUCCAUUUCAAUUAUUUUAUAUCAAAAUUUAUAUCAUUUAUAUUUAUAUUACUAUUUAUAUUAUUACUUUAGAUUCUACGGGGUGUUUAUUUAAUAAAAUAAACUGCGAUUUAUUCUUCAGGUUUGAAAGCGGCUGCCUGUAUUUUCAUUGUAAUAUAUCCAUGCCUUUCCUACAAAUUUUUUUUCCUAUGAAUGCAUUGUAAUUUUAUUUAUUGGAGUUUACUCCUUUAGAAUCGAUUUACAUAUAUAGGCCCGGGGUAUGAAAAUUAUGGGGACCAAAAUCGUACUAGCAUGUCACACGAAAUGCGUUAUGCGCCUGAUUGCGCAUGUCACACGAAAUGCGUUAUCGCAGGUGACGCCGGGCUGCUGCGCCGGCAGUCCGCCACAAAGCCUCGUACUGAUCGCGCGUUUCUCUCAUUAUUGUAUUUUCAUAUAUUUGUUAGUCGUUUGUUUUGUGUCUCGUUAAUUUGUUAAUAAUCUGUAGUGUAUCGUGUUGUCGUAAUAUAGAACUAUUUCUCGUA